rnacentral:misc_RNA from 1 species
UUUCCGUAGGUGAACCUGCGGAAGGAUCAUUAUCGGGAGUGCCCUCGUGGCUUAACCUGCAACCCCAUGUUUUUAAAACCCUUGUUUCUUUGGCGGGUUCGCCCGUCAGAAGAAUUCUCAAACUCAUUGUAAACGUGUCAUAUGAAUAACCAUAAAAAUAAAUUAAAACUUUCAACAACGGAUCUCUUGGUUCUG